rnacentral:rRNA from 1 species
UCUUCCCUCUUUCUUCGUGCCUAAUACAUGCAAGUCGAGCGAACAGACGAGGAGCUUGCUCCUUUGACGUUAGCGGCGGACGGGUGAGUAACACGUGGAUAACCUACCUAUAAGACUGGGAUAACUUCGGGAAACCGGAGCUAAUACCGGAUAACAUGUUGAACCGCAUGGUUCAACAGUGAAAGACGGUCUUGCUGUCACUUAUAGAUGGAUCCGCGCCGCAUUAGCUAGUUGGUAAGGUAACGGCUUACCAAGGCAACGAUGCGUAGCCGACCUGAGAGGGUGAUCGGCCACACUGGAACUGAGACACGGUCCAGACUCCUACGGGAGGCAGCAGUAGGGAAUCUUCCGCAAUGGGCGAAAGCCUGACGGAGCAACGCCGCGUGAGUGAAGAAGGUCUUCGGAUCGUAAAACUCUGUUAUUAGGGAAGAACAAAUGUGUAAGUAACUAUGCACGUCUUGACGGUACCUAAUCAGAAAGCCACGGCUAACUACGUG